UUCAUCACAUACCACAAUAAUGUACACACUGGGUACCAUGUAUACAGGGGACAUAACUCUUCACCACAUACCACAAUAAUGAACACACUGGGUACCAUGUAUACAGGGGACAUAACUCUUCAUCACACACCACACUAAUGUACACACUUGGUACCAUGUAAACAGGGGACAUAACUCUUCAUCACACACCACAAUAAUGUACACACUUGGUACCAGGUAUACAAGGGACAUAACUCUUCAUCACACACCACAAUAAUGUACACCGUGGGUACCAGGUAUACAGGGGACAUAACUCUUCAUCACAUACCACAAUAAUGUACACACUGGGUACCAUGUAUACAGGGGACAUAACUCUUCAUCACACACCACAAUAAUGUACACACUGGGUACCAUUUAUACAGGGGAGGUAACUCUUCAUCACACACCACAAUAAUGUACACACUGGGUACCAUGUAUACAGGGGACAUAAAUCUUCAUCACACACCACAAUAAUGUACACACUUGGUACCAGGUAUACAGGGGACAUAACUCUUCAUCACACACCACAAUAAUGUACACACUUGGUACCAGGUAUACAGGGGACAUAAAUCUUCAUCACACACCACAAUAAUGUACACACUUGGUACCAGGUAUACAGGGGACAUAACUCUUCAUCACACACCACAAUAAUGUACACACUUGGUACCAUGUAUACAGGGGACAUAACUCUUCAUCACAUACCACAAUAAUGUACACGCUUGGUACCAGGUAUACAAGGGACAUAACUCUUCAUCACACACCACAAUAAUGUACACCGUGGGUACCAGGUAUACAGGGGACAUAACUCUUCAUCACAUACCACAAUAAUGUACACACUGGGUACCAUGUAUACAGGGGACAUAACUCUUCAUCACACACCACAAUAAUGUACACACUUGGUACCAUGUAUACAGGGGACAUAACUCUUCAUCACAUACCACAAUAAUGUACACGCUUGGUACCAGGUAUACAAGGGACAUAACUCUUCAUCACACACCACAAUAAUGUACACCGUGGGUACCAGGUAUACAGGGGACAUAACUCUUCAUCACAUACCACAAUAAUGUACACACUGGGUACCAUGUAUACAGGGGACAUAACUCUUCAUCACACACCACAAUAAUGUACACACUGGGUACCAUUUAUACAGGGGAGGUAACUCUUCAUCACACACCACAAUAAUGUACACACUGGGUACCAUUUAUACAAGGGACAUAACUCUUCAUCACACACCACAAUAAUGUACACACUGGGUACCAGGUAUACAGGGGACAUAACUCUUCAUCACACACCACAAUAAUGUACACACUGGGUACCAUGUAUACAGGGGACAUAACUCUUCAUCACAUACCACAAUAAUGUACACACUUGGUACAUGUACCAUGUAUACAGGGGACAUAACUCUUCAUCACACACCACAAUAAUGUACACACUUGGUACAUGUACCAUGUAUACAGGGGACAUAACUCUUCAUCACACACCACAAUAAUGUACACACUGGGUACCAUUUAUACAGGGGAGGUAACUCUUCAUCACACACCACAAUAAUGUACACACUGGGUACCAGGUAUACAGGGGACAUAACUCUUCAUCACACACCACAAUAAUGUACACCGUGGGUACCAGGUAUACAGGGGACAUAACUCUUCAUCACAUACCACAAUAAUGUACACACUGGGUACCAGGUAUACAGGGGACAUAACUCUUCAUCACAUACCACAAUAAUGAACACACUGGGUACCAUGUAUACAGGGGACAUAACUCUUCAUCACACACCACACUAAUGUACACACUUGGUACCAUGUAAACAGGGGACAUAACUCUUCAUCACACACCACAAUAAUGUACACACUGGGUACCAGGUAUACAGGGGAUAUAACUUAAUAAGAAGAUUGUUUUUAAAAGUGGUCAUCACCCUUGUCUUAUGAAAUAUCAAAAUUCCAAUUUGCCAUAUUAAUCUUUUUAUUUAGCUUCCAGAUGUCCAUUCCUAUUUUAACUUGACUUAUGUCCGGCUUGGCCAGGGAAAUACUUUACUAUAAAUAGAAGAUAAAAAGGAAUGAAACCUUAAUUUGUGAGAGUGAUGCUAUACCUUAGAUACGUAUGGAAAGACAAGCGAGAUUAACACUGCUGUGUAACUUUGGUCUGGGUGAAGUGUAUACCCGGGACCCACGCCAUUUUGCAGUACUCAGUCUAUGAACUUUAUUUUCAUCUUAACAAUGGUUUUUACAAAGAUCGAAUGUUAAUUCAUUGUUUUACAGAAAGUGUUCUAUCUUUCAUUAAGCUGUUAUAAGAUAGACAGGGAUAGUAAAUCUAAUAGUACGGUUUGUAUUGGGUCCUAGUCUGGACAUGGCAUACAAACAAAUGUGGACUUUCACCCACCUGUACCAAGUACCAUGGUAACUUCAAUGUUUCUUGUUUUAUGAUUGUCCUGUAUCUGAAUGCUGUCAAUAUCAUAAUCAUUUUCUCAUUUUUGUGGUGACUCAUCAAAAAAGUGCCAUUUGCUUAGGUGGUGACCACCUUUAAAAUUUAAAAAAAAAUUGUUCUUUACACAUCCCUAGGUAAAUUUGAAAUCACUUGAUUUUUGUGAUUUGGUGCUAUACUGUAAAACAGUGAGGGUUUCUUCAUUUGAGAAAAUUUGAGGAGAUUGAGCAAUAGUUAGGUUACUCAGCAUGUUAGUGUGGUGUUCUAAAGCUAAUAUAUCUUUAUUUACUUGUCACAAAAUCAAAUUAUUUUUGUAACUUUAAUUCAAAUGAAAGUGAAUACUUUGUCAAAAAUAAAAAAGAUGAUGACAAUCAAGUUUGAGUAGAUUGGCCGUUCCUAUGAUCAAUUUACUUCUAGACGUAGAUAUUAUAACAUUCAUUUUACUGAAUAUUUACAGGAGUUCCACUAUCUUCCAAAUCUGUAUGCUUUUCUUUGAUGACUAUGUGUACUUAAGAUUCAGAUCCUUGUAAAAUGAUGAUAAUAACAGUUGUGUGACUGUCAUAUGAUUUGUAUACGAGCAUUAUACUAUUACCUCACCACACCCCUGUAGGCAGUUCUUUAUCACAGCAUAAUACACAUGUACAUAAUGUAGGUGGCUAGUAAGUCUAUAGGAAGUGUGUGGGUGGGAAAGGAAAAUGGAUGGUGUAAGUUGAUGAGCUGUUUGAUUACAAGAGAAAGUUUUGCUUUGUUAAUGAGAGCAUUAUAUAAGGGAGAUGUUUAGUUUGUCACUGAGAGUUUUGUUAUAUAAGUUUGGUUUGUGAGUGAGAGUUUUAUUAUAUUAGUAGAUGAGAUGUUUGGUUUGCAAGUGAGAGUUUUGUUAUUUAACUAGUCUAAGAUGAGAUUAUUAGUUUGAUAGUGAGAGUUUUGUUAUAAAAGUAGAUGAGAUGAAAGGAUUUGUGAGUCAAUGAGUAAGAGUUUUGUGAUGUAGCUAGACGAGAUAUUUGGUUUAGUGAGUGUGGGUUUAGUGAUGUAAGUAGAUGAGAUUGUUGGUUUGAUAGUGAGAGUUUUGUUGAUAGUGAGAGUUUUGUUGAUAGUGAGAGUUUUGUUACGUAAGUUGAUGUAAUGUUUGCUUUGUUAGGGAGGGCUUUGUUAUGUAAAUGAGAUGUUUCGUUUGUGAGUGAGAGUUUUGCUGAGGUCCGUGAGAGUUUUGUUAUGUGAGUUGGUGAGAUGCUAAGGUCUGUGAGAGUUAUGUUAUGUGAGUUGGUGAGAUGCUAAGGUCUGUGAGAGUUAUGUUAUGUGAGUUGGGGUGGUGAUAAGGUCCGUGAGAGUUUUAUGUGAGUUGGUGAGAUGCUAAGAUCUGUGAGAGUUAUGUUAUGUGAGUUGGUGAGAUGCUAAGGCCUGUCAGUGAGUAAUGUUAUGUGAGUUGGUGAGAUGCUAAGGUCUGUGAGUGAGUUAUGUUAUGUGAGUUGGUGAGAUGCUAAGGUCUGUGAGUGAGUAAUGUUAUGUGAGUUGGUGAGAUGCUAAGGUCUGUGAGUGAGUUAUGUUAUGUGAGUUGGUGAGAUGCUAAGGUCUGUGAGAGUAAUGCUAUGUGAGUUGGUGAGAUGCUAAGAUCCUUGAGUUUUGUUAUGUGAGUUGGUGAGAUGCUAAGAUCUGUGAGAGUUAUGUUUUGUGAGUUGGUGAGAUGCUAAGGUCUGUCAGAGAGUUAUGUUACAUGAGUUGGUGAGAUGCUCAGGCCUGUCAGUGAGAGUUUGUUAUAUAGAUGAGUGAUUUUGUUUUUUAUGUAAUCGCCUUAUUAUUGUAUAGUUGGAUCUGCUUUGGUUAUUUAUGCAUUUGAAUGUAUUUAAUUUUCUCAAAUAUUGUACAGUUUAUACUUAAGAACAUGUAUUUUUGUAAAUCUGAAAUCAAUUUGUUCAUAUUUGAGGAUGUGUAAGUUAUUUCUAAAUGUAAAAAAUAUAUACACUGUCAGUAUGCUCUAUUUAUAAGUAUGCAAUUAAUUUUCAUCUGUUUUAUGAUUAGGGGUUUGGUAUAGUACAGACAAAAAUAUACAAACGUGUAGAUUGUCUGAUGGUGUUGUGAAUCUAGAAUGACAGAUGUUCAGGGGUAUACUGUUUUACCCUACGUUAAUUUGUCAUUUUAAAGAUAAAACUAAGUUUUUAGGUCACCUGAGAUGAAGUCUCACCUGAGACUCAGAUGACCUAUUUCGAUUGCCUUUUGUCUGGCAUCGUUGGUCUCCAGUCGUGCAUCAUAAAUAAUUUACAUUUUCGACUUCUUCUCCAAAACCGCUCUACAAAAUUCAAUGAAAUUUGGCAGGAAGCUUCCAUGGCCAAAUGUCAACCACGAUUGUAAAUUAUAUGGUCCCCACCCCCAGGGGCCUGAUGGGUGGGGCCAAAAAUGUUCAUAUUGACUAAAAUGUUUGACUAUCAUUUGUGUCAUUACUAUUGGAAUUAGCAGUUUUGGAAGGCAGUUUGCUUGUAUGCAGUUAUAGGCCCCCAGGGGCUGGUGGGCAGGGUCAGAAAGGGUCAAAUUUACAGAAAUAUUUCAAAACUCAGGGUGAUUGUUAAUGCCCAUGGGCCUCUUGUUAUGGUUGACAGCUGUGCUGGAAUGCUGAUAUAUCAUGUCAUGGUAUCAGUGUCCUUCAUUGUGAAAUUCCAAAAUUCCCAUGGUUGAAUCAAUUAUUUAUAGAAUUUUUAGGUCAUCUGACCCGAAAGGUCAGAAUGACCUAUAGUCAUGGUAAUGGUCUGUCAUCAUGCGAGGUCCAUGCGUUAACUUUUCACAUUUCAAACUUUUCCUCAAGAUCUACUGGUGGGAUUUAGCUGAAACUUGUCUGGAAUGAUCUUGAGAUGGUCCUGACCAAGUGUUGUUAUUUUUAGGGUCAGUCUGGUUUUCCUGAACAACACCUAUUUCAAACUUCUUCUCAAAUUCCACCAGUUGGAUUCAGCACUGACUUACCUGAAAUGACCCGGAGAUGGUCCUGACCAAGUGUUGUUUAUUUUCUGCUCGAUCCAAAAUCCACAAUGGCCGCCAUGGCCAACAGUGCCACUAUACUUGCUGCUGAGUAUGUAUACUACACAAGUACAAGGGUUUUUAGAGUCAGAUGACCGUUAAGGCCCUUGGGCUCUUGUUGUAUGCUUUAACCGUUUUAUUUUUUUCUGGGAAUUUCCUGUAAUUUGGAUUUUUCUGACCGGUAAUGUUUUGGUGUAACAAUUUUGUUUCACAUACAUAGGAUGGUGGUUUACACAACAGUACCAUACCUGUUCUACACCUGGCCUGACUCGGGUAGUUAGUACCAUACCUGUUCUACACCUGGCCUGACUCGGGUAGUUAGUACCAUAACUGUUCUACACCUGGCCUGACUCGGGUAGUUAGUACCAUAACUGUUCUACACCUGGCCUGACUCGGGUAGUUAGUACCAUAACUGUUCUACACCUGGCCUGACUCGGGUAGUUAGUACCAUAACUGUUCUACACCUGGCCUGACUCGGGUAGUUAGUACCAUAACUGUUCUUCACCUGGCCUGACUCGGGUAGUUAGUACCAUAACUGUUCUACACCUGGCCUGACUCGGGUAGUUAGUACCAUAACUGUUCUACACCUAGCCUGACUCGGGUAGUUAGUACCAUAACUGUUCUACACCUGGCCUGACUCGGGUAGUUAGUACCAUAACUGUUCUACACCUGGCCUGACUCGGGUAGUUAGUACCAUAACUGUUCUACACCUGGCCUGACUCGGGUAGUUAGUACCAUAACUGUUCUACACCUGGCCUGACUCGGGUAGUUAGUACCAUAACUGUUCUACACCUGGCCUGACUCGGGUAGUUAGUACCAUAACUGUUCUACACCUAGCCUGACUCGGGUAGUUAGUACCAUAACUGUUCUACACCUAGCCUGACUCGGGUAGUUAGUACCAUAACUGUUCUACACCUGGCCUGACUCGGGUAGUUAGUACCAUAACUGUUCUACACCUGGCCUGACUCGGGUAGUUAGUACCAUAACUGUUCUACACCUGGCCCGACUCGGGUAGUUAGUACCAUAACUGUUCAACACCUGGCCCGACUCGGGUAGUUAGUACCAUAACUGUUCUACACCUGGCCCGACUCGGGUAGUUAGUACCAUAACUGUUCUACACCUGGCCCGACUCGGGUAGUUAGUACCAUAACUGUUCUACACCUGGCCCGACUCGGGUAGUUAGUACCAUAACUGUUCUACACCUGGCCCGACUCGGGUAGUUAGUACCAUAACUGUUCUACACCUGGCCCGACUCGGGUAGUUAGUACCAUAACUGUUCUACACCUGGCCCGACUCGGGUAGUUAGUACCAUAACUGUUCUACACCUGGCCCGACUCGGGUAGUUAGUACCAUAACUGUUCUACACCUGGCCUGACUCGGGUAGUUACUUGAUCAUUGUUCACAAUGUCGUUGAUUUCACAAAUAGCCAUGUUCUAUGAACCAGCCUUCCCUCCGUUCAGAGUGCCAUAACUUUGAUACACUUCCAUUCUGAGAAGUAUCCCUCCUUCAGUUCAAAGUCAUAACUUUGACACACGCCCAUUCUGAGAAGUAUCCAUCCUUCUGUCCAGUUAUAACUUUGACACACGCCCAUUCUGAGAAGUAUCCUUCCUUCUGUCCAGUUAUAACUUUGACACACGCCCAUUCUGAGAAGUAUCCAUCCUUCUGUCCAGUUAUAACUUUGACACACGCCCAUUCUGAGAAGUAUCCUUCCUUCUGUCCAGUUAUAACUUUGACACACGCCCAUUCUGAGAAGUAUCCUUCCUUCAGUUCAGUUAUAACUUUGACACACGCCCAUUCUGAGAAGUAUCACUCCUUCCGUUCAGAGUGCCAUAACUUUGAUACACCUCCAUUCUGAGAAGUAUCCAUCCUUCUGUCCAGUUAUAACUUUAACACACGCCCAUUCUGAGAAGUAUCCUUCCUUCAGUUCAGAGUGCCAUAACUUUGAGACACGUCCAUUCUGAGAAGUAUCCUUCCUUCUGUCCAGUUAUAACUUUGACACACGCCCAUUCUGAGAAGUAUCCUUCCUUCAGUUCAGAGUGCCAUAACUUUGAUACACUUCCAUUCUGAGAAGUAUCCCUCCUUCCGUUCAAAGUCAUAACUUUGACACACGCCCAUUCUGAGAAGUAUCCUUCCUUCCGUUCAGAGUGCCAUAACUUUGACACACGCCCAUUCUGAGAAGUAUCCUUCCUUCCGUUCAGAGUGCCAUAACUUUGACACAUGUCCCCUGAUCUUAGAAGGCCUCUUCUUGCAGUUCAAGGGAGAGUGAUUGUAAAUGCCACUUGAUCCGUCCCAGUAGUUUACCCUGAUAGGAACAGACUAAGACGCAUUGACACAUUGAUAUGAGAGGUCGUAAAAUCUGAGAGGUCGUACAAUCUAGUGAACAGCGAACUCCUUUAAACCUUUAUUUAGUCCAAGGCUGAUGUACGGCAGUAUAGGAGCUGAGGAUGUGUGCCAUUCAUCACUAUUAUAAAUGCCAUAGUAAAAUAGUUCAAUACUGUAUUUAGUGACAUUGAUCACUUAGCUAGUUAGAAUUGAGCAUUGUUUAAUAUGUUUAGAGACGUACAACAAUCUAAUCAAAAUUAGAGUCGCCUGUAUGUAACUAUGGAUACCACACCUUGGUAGAUGCUAUCUCUAUACCCUUUCCAUGUACUUGCCCAAUUCAAAUUGUGUUCAUGUGAUCGCCGGUAUUUAACUAUAAAUGCCACACCUUGGUAGAGUUAAUAUAUACCCUCUGUCUGUACUUGCCUAAUUCAAAUUGUGUUGAGGUGAUUUUAUACGUCAACUUGUGACACCAUGAUAAACGUUGAUCAAAUAGUGAAUAUAAUAUGAACAGAUUUGGUAGUAAAACAUUUUCUUGGAGGUAUUAACAGUUAUCUGUACUACCGGGUUGAUCUAUUACAAUAUUAAACACGAGUUUAUCGUACCACGGACACCCUUUUUGUCUGGUUAAUAACUCGAUAUCUGUAAUUGUAUUUGGAACAUGAAGGUAUAUACCGAUGUCACAAAGGGCGCCUUGUAGCUACUGUGCAAUGUAAAUAGAUUUCUCGCUGAAUGAGAAACCUACACGAUUGUGUAAGUGUCUCGUGGUUCCUCGUGGCCAGAUUGAUUCUACCAACAGAUGUUGGAACAAUAAAACCAAAGAGACUUA